UACAGAGGUCUCGAGCGUUUGUUCGGAUUCAUUGGGCGUAAAGGGUGCGUAGGUGGCGUGGUAAGUCUGGUGUGAAAUCCCGGGGCUCAACCCCGGAACUGCACUGGAUACUGCCAUGCUUGAGUACUGGAGAGGAGAUUGGAAUUUACGGUGUAGCAGUGAAAUGCGUAGAUAUCGUAAGGAAGACCAGUGGCGGAAGGCGAAUCUCUGGACAGUUACUGACACUGAGGCAGCGAAGGCCAGGGGAGCAAACAGG
rnacentral:rRNA from 1 species